rnacentral:lncRNA from 1 species
GACUUUCUACAUUUUCUGCCACUGCACCCUCUUCAGCAGGUGAACUCACCUCUUACUACAUGGAAAAAAUAGAAGGUUUCAAAUAGGAAUGGUCUCAUCUUCCCAUCACCAAAUCUAGAAUCCAGCCUGCAUUCCCACGUACCUCCUCUUCUUCAGGCCAGAUUCAUCAAACAUCUCCUGGCUAUGAGGAGUCCCUUGGGAAUUCAGAGACAGAAAAAGAGUGAGCUAGUUGCUCCCUGAGAGCAGUUGCCUUGGAUUGGCUCUUUUCUUCACAGAAGAACAAUGAAGCAGUCUGCCUCCAAGUUAACCCAAGGCAGAAAACUGCUUCCAGCCUUCAAAUGAAAUGGGUUGAUGUGGCUUAGGGCACAUGGCUUAUCCACAGUAUAAUCAUGAGAACCAAUAUUUACUAAGUCCUCACUCUGGGCCAGAAAUUCUUCUAAGCAUUUACCAACUCACUUAGACUUGCAAGAGCCUGUGAAACAGAUGUCAUUCUUGUCUCCAUUUGACAGAGGAGGUAAGAAUAUUCUCAAGGUUAUAUAGCUAGAAAGUGGCAGUGGCCAGGGUGCGAUGGCUGACGCCUGUAAUCUCAGCACUUUGGGAGGCCAAGACAAGUGGAUUUCUUGAGCCCAGGAGUUUGGGACCAGCCUGGGCAACAUAGUAAGACCUCAUCUCUAUAAAAAUUUAAAAAUAAAUAAAUAAAAAGUAAAAAUACAGCUAGAAAGUGGCAAAGUUAUGGUCUCAAAUCAGACAGUUUGAACUCAGAGCCCAUGUGCUGGCCUCUCAGACUGGGAUCUACUCAGUCACUGGACAACAACAAAUCUCCAGUCUUCAUCAGAUUAUCUGAUUUUUUCCAAAUUGCUUAGGAAUUCUUUAAACAUCAAAAAUUCAUUAUAUAACCAUUAUGUAAAUAACAUCAUUAAAAGCAUGUUCAAAUGAGAAAAAGAAGUCACUACUAAACUUACCACCCCAAAGCAACUGAUUUUAUAUAUGCAUGCUUUUUUGAUCCUUGCACUCACAUGUUCCAUAUAGUGAAAUAUAAUUCUGUAUUAUGAUUAUUUCCUGAUGUUAUAACAUUGUAUUAUAAGUGUAUUUUCAUAAGGUUAUUUUCUGACAUUUUAAUUGCUGGGUAGCAUUCCUUCAAGUUGAUGUACCAUAAUUGACUUAGCUACUUCCCUAUUUUGAACAUUUAGAUUGUUUCCACUUAAAAAUUUGAAAAAUAAACAAACUCUUUGCUCUCA